UACGAGAGGGGCAAGCGUUAUUCAGAAUGAUUGGGCGUAAAGCGCACGUAGGCUGUUUAGAAAAUCUCCAAAAAAAAAUUGUAAAGUUUGACUUUAAGAGUUCUCUGGAGAGUCCUAAACUAGAGUGAGUGAGAGGAGAAUGGAAUUCCUGGCGUAGAGGUAAAAUUUGUUGAUAUCAGGAGGAACACCAAAAGCGAAGGCAAUUCUCUGGUGCUCUACUGACGUUGAGGUGCGACAGCGUGGGGAUCAAAAGGG
rnacentral:rRNA from 1 species